rnacentral:rRNA from 1 species
UACGUAGGGUGCGAGCGUUGCCCGGAUUUACUGGGCGUAAAGGGCGCGUAGGCGGCGCAACAAGUCACUUGUGAAAUCUCCGGGCUUAACCCGGAGCGGCCAAGUGAUACUGUCGUGCUAGAGUGCGGAAGGGGCUACUGGAAUUCUCGGUGUAGCGGUGAAAUGCGUAGAUAUCGAGAGGAACACCUGCGGCGAAGGCGGGUAGCUGGGCCGACACUGACGCUGAGGCGCGAAAGCCAGGGGAGCGAACGGG